rnacentral:rRNA from 1 species
CUACGGGUGCGCUCCAGUGAGGAAUAUUGCACAAUGGGGGGAACUCUGAUGCAGCAACGCCGCGUGGAGGAUGACGCAUUUCGGUGUGUAAACUCCUUUUAUAUGUCAAGAAGAUGACGGUAGCAUAUGAAUAAGCACCGGCUAACUCCGUGCCAGCAGCCGCGGUAAUACGGAGGGUGCAAGCGUUACUCGGAAUCACUGGGCGUAAAGGACGCGUAGGCGGGUUGGAAAGUCAGGUGUGAAAUCCUACAGCUUAACUGUAGAACUGCACUUGAAACUUCUAAUCUAGAGUAUGGGAGGGGGAGAUGGAAUUAGUGGUGUAGGGGUAAAAUCCGUAGAUAUCACUAGGAAUACCUAAAGCGAAGGCGAUCUCCUGGAACAUUACUGACGCUAAGGCGUGAAAGCGUGGGGAGCAAACAGGAUUAGAUACCCUAGUAGUC